CCUUCCUCUCUCUCUCCCAACUCAUCUGGAUUCUGUGACUUCUCUCCAUCAUGUUAAUCUCGUAAAAACUUCUCCAUUCGCGGCAUUUAUUCGAAUUCGCAUGAUGACACUCUAGAAUUAUCGGCCUUUUGUAGUUGUUUUUCGAGGCUUUUUCCUUCAUGGGUUCGGCUUCGAUCGGGUAUCAAUUCGGAAUCUCAGCUCGGUUUCAUUUGAGGUCGGAUGUUGCCGUCUCCUCGCUUCCAUGUAAAGUUGAUAUUUCCAGAAAGAGCUUCUUCUCAGCUGCAAGCUCCACUCACAAGGAAUUUUCAAAUCGAGCUCGGGUAUGUUCUUUGCCAGAUAUUGAUGAGUACUGCGAUGAGAAAGUUGAGACGCCAAUACUAGACAGCAUUGAAACUCCAUCGCAGUUGAAGAAUUUGAGUGUUAAGGAGUUGAAGCAAUUAGCUGAUGAAAUCCGUAAUGAGCUUCUUUCUGUACUAUGGAAGACCCAAAAGCCUGUGAACCAAAGCUUGGCUGCAAUAGAGCUUACCCUUGCUCUGCAUUAUGUCUUUCGUGCCCCGGUUGAUAAAAUAUUGUGGGAUUCUGUGGAACAAACAUAUGCACAUAAAGUCUUGACAGGACGUUGGUCAGCGAUACCAUCGAGACAAAAUAAUGGUAUUUCUAGGGUCACUUCUAGAUUGGAGAGUGAAUAUGAUACUUUUGGGACCGGGCAUGGCUGCAACAGUAUUUCUGCUGGGCUCGGAUUAGCAGUUGCUCGAGAUAUGAAAGGAAAAAGGGACAGGGUUGUUGCUGUGAUAGACAACGUGACAAUAACUGCUGGUCAAGCAUAUGAGGCAAUGAGCAAUGCUGGUUACUUGGAUUCUAAUAUGAUUGUUAUCCUAAAUGAUAGCCGUCACUCUUUGCAUCCAAAUAUGGCGGAGGGAUCCAAGGCAUCCAUCAGUGCACUAUCCAGCAUCAUGAGCAAAAUCCAGUCUAGCCAGAUUUUCCGGAAAUUUAGAGAACUAGCGAAAGCUAUGACGAAAAAAAUAGGAAAGGGGAUGUAUGAAUGGGCAGCCAAAGUCGAUGAGUAUGCACGUGGUAUGGUGGGACCAACAGGAUCAACUCUCUUUGAGGAACUUGGUUUGUACUACAUUGGUCCUGUUGAUGGACACAACAUCGGAGAUCUAGUUUGUGUCUUCCGAGAAGUAGCUUCUUUAGAUUCAAUGGGUCCUGUGUUGGUCCAUGUUAUCACAGACGAAAACCGAGAUGCAGAAACCGGAAAGAACAUCGUGGUCAAAGACAGACGCACUUAUAGUGAUUGCUUUGUGGAGGCCUUGGUGAUGGAGGCAGAAAAAGAUAGAGAUAUUGUUGUGGUUCAUGCAGGGAUGGAGAUGGAUCCAUCACUUGUUACAUUUCAGGAGAGAUUUCCAGACAGGUUUUUCAAUGUCGGAAUGGCUGAACAGCAUGCUGUCACAUUCUCUGCUGGUCUUUCUUCUGGAGGUCUCAAGCCCUUUUGCAUUAUUCCCUCUGCAUUUCUACAAAGAGCUUAUGACCAGGUGGUUCAUGAUGUAGAUAGGCAGAGAAAGGCGGUGCGAUUUGUUAUUACAAGCGCAGGGCUUGUUGGAUCCGAUGGUCCAGUGCAGUGUGGAGCUUUUGACAUAGCUUUCAUGUCAAGCUUACCAAACAUGAUAGCCAUGGCUCCAGCCGAUGAGGAUGAGCUUGUAGAUAUGGUUGCUACUGCAGCUUACAUCACUGACCGCCCAGUUUGUUUCCGGUUCCCCAGAGGCGCCAUCGUCAACAAGAAUUAUCUCGUUCGCACUGGAUCACCAAUUGAAAGUAGAUUGGAAGAGGAAGAGUUGUUGUAGAGGGUCAAGACGUGGCUUUGCUCGGGUAUGGAGCCAUGGUUCAGAAUUGUCUUAAUGCUCACUCGCUUCUCUCGAAACUCGGUUUGAACGUGACCGUAGCUGAUGCAAGAUUUUGCAAACCCCUCGACAUAAAGCUUGUGCGUGAUCUUUGUCAGAAGCACAAAUUCCUUAUCACUGUAGAAGAAGGCUGCGUUGGAGGGUUCGGCUCUCAUGUGGCGCAAUUUAUAGCCCUCGAUGGCCAGCUCGAUGGGAUAAUCAAGUGGAGACCGAUUGUGUUGCCGGAUGGCUACAUCGAAGAAGCUUCGCCUAGCGAACAGCUUGCUCUUGCCGGGCUAACCGGACAUCACAUAGCAGCAACCGCUUUGAGUCUUUUGGGUCGAACUCGUGAAGCAUUGCUUCUCAUGAGCUAAGCUUAAACUUCUCAAGAAGAUUAGAGACUUAAAAGAGGCGUCACAUUAUGACUUUUUAUAACUCUUGUUGGAGGGAAUAUGAUCAGUGUAAUUAUUAAGUUUCUUAAGCACAAACUGUAAAUAUAUAAAUUCGGAAUUCAAGAACCCAUUUUCUGUUCAGAUUUUUCAAGAGAUUUAACUGGAUUGUAAGGUGUAAAUGUAAAGGUGAAAUGUAGUGAAUAAAGAAAUUACUU